GGGGCCGGGGUGACACCGCACGCCAUCAGCUGCUGCCAGCCCCUUUAAUCUCUCCCAGGUAUGUCAGAAAGCACCCACGUUGUAAUCAGACCGAGAUGUAGUUAUAAUGAUAUCUGAUCUGGGAAUUUAUUCCAAAGCUUUCCUUUUCCAUGAUGGUUUUCAUUUCCUGUAAUUUAGAGCUGGAAGCACUUAUGGAAUAUCACAUGGUUUUAGUUUACACAGGAAAUCAGCUGCAGUUGCGGGAAGAUACUGACUUAGGGCUUUUAGGUUUUGUUGUGAUUUUUUUUUUUUUUUUUAAGAAACAAAGAUUGCUUCACAGGAAAACACUGCAGACUUUUUUACCUCUGUUGUCUGAAGCCUGCAUUCUGCAAACGAAGAGAUAAACCGAGAGCAGGACAAGCUGUGGAGGAGGGCGAGGGGAGAGGAUGCUGGGGCAGCUGCAGCCAGAAGAACUUGUGGAGCAGGAAGUAUCGAAUAGAGCGUGCAUGAGGAGCCCGAGACGACCAGAUCAGAUUGAAAUAGGAAAAGGCAGCUCUGCCUGCUCUGAGAGUCUCUUUGGUGCCAGAGAAGAGGGAGAUGGCAGGCUGAGAGGAGAACGAGAUGGACGGCUGGAGCAAAUAGUGUCUAAUGAACCAUGCUGGAAACACUGUCAGAAGCAAAGAGCUGGAUCUGCAGGUCUGCAAGAGCAGAGGAGUGCUGGCUGCUUGCUUUUUGCACACAGAGAGAUCCUACUUCACUCCCUUGGGCCUAAGAGGAGAACUGCAAGACCAGCAACAGUCCCCACUCCAGGUGGUCACUCUUCAACGAGGCAGGAGGAGUUUCCAAUGGCUGCACUGCAGAAGACAACUUACUCAUGCUGGCAGGAAGCAAAACGUGAAAUCCACUAG
rnacentral:lncRNA from 1 species